rnacentral:lncRNA from 1 species
CUGUGGGCGGUGCAUGAAUCAAAUCAUCGUGCACCUGACACUGAUGACACUUUUGAACAAAGCAGAAACGGCCUCUUUCCAUGGUUAUCCAGUAAUAGCCCUCUCGAAGGAUUUUCUUUGCUAAGACAUAGCCGUUCAUGUGAGGUCCAUAUACUCCUGCGUGCACUUCAUACAUGAUUCUUCCAACCUCAUCUGCAUCAACACAUCUUAGCAAGUUGAGGUUCAGAGUUCUUUUGUACAAGAAGUUACCUCUAAAAAAGAAACCACUUGCGUGCCGUCUAAUGGUUCUCUUUUGACCUCCAUUGGCUUGCACGGGGUAUUAUUUAAUUUUCAUAAAUCUUUUGAUGUCAUCAUACCAUGGCUGACUAUUCGGUUCUACCUCAACUGUAUUACAGUAACCGUGCCUUUCCCGGAUUUGGAUUUCCAAGGGAUCUAUGUGAGCAUUGCCUCGGUAUGGCAGCAUCGAAGCCGAAGUAGCAAGUGCAUCAGCUAGUUCAUUGUGGCAACGAGGGAUGUACCUUAACUCUAUUGACUUGAAUCGCCUACCAAGAUCUUCCACAUGCUGCAUGUAAGGGAUAAGCUUAACAUCUUAGGUCUCUC